GAAGGUGUAAUUAACCUAUUCCACUAUAUUCGUUAAGCAUAACUCUCAUCUAUUAUAUAAUGAAUGAAUGCAAUGCAUCUCUCUUCUCCAUAAUAUUCAUCUGAAAAAGAUUGUUAGGAAGUUAAGAAAGUUAGUUAGGGAAGGUGUAAUUAACCUAUUCCAGUAUAUUCGUUAAGCAUAACUCUCAUCUAUUAUAUAAUGAAUGAAUGCAAUGCAUCUCUGUUCUCCAUAAUAUUCAUCUGAAAAAGGUUGUU
rnacentral:lncRNA from 1 species